UUUCACCGAGCCGAGCAGGAGGGGGUUUCCGGCUGGUCGGUCCUGGCCGUAGGUGGCCAGGAGGGCCUGGGCUUC
rnacentral:antisense_RNA from 1 species